rnacentral:rRNA from 1 species
UUGCCAGACUCCUACGGGAGGCAGCAGUGAGGAAUAUUGGUCAAUGGUCGGGAGACUGAACCAGCCAAGCCGCGUGAGGGAUGAAGGUACAGAGUAUCGUAAACCUCUUUUGUCAGGGAACAAAGGCGGGGACGUGUCCCCGGAUGAGUGUACCUGAAGAAAAAGCAUCGGCUAACUCCGUGCCAGCAGCCGCGGUAAUACGGAGGAUGCGAGCGUUAUCCGGAUUUAUUGGGUUUAAAGGGUGCGCAGGCGGCUGAGUAAGACAGAUGUGAAAUCCCCGGGCUUAACCUGGGAACCGCAUAUGUGACUGCUUGGCUAGAGUGCGUCAGAGGGAGGUGGAAUUCCACGUGUAGCAGUGAAAUGCGUAGAUAUGUGGAAGAACACCGAUGGCGAAGGCAGCCUCCUGGGACGCAACUGACGCUCAUACACGAAAGCGUGGGGAGCAAACAGGAUUAGAUACCCUCGUAA